UACGAAGGGGGCUAGCGUUGUUCGGAAUUACUGGGCGUAAAGCGCACGUAGGCGGAUAUUUAAGUCAGGGGUGAAAUCCCGGGCUCAACCCCGGAACUGCCUUUGAUACUGGGUAUCUCGAGUCCGAGAGAGGUGAGUGGAAUUCCGAGUGUAGAGGUAGAAAUUCGUAGAUAUUCGGAGGAACACCAGUGGCGAAGGCGGCUCACUGGCUCGGUACUGACGCUGAGGUGCGAAAGCGUGGGGAGCAAACAGGG
rnacentral:rRNA from 1 species